UCGAUCGCGAACGAGAGCGACCCUUACCUUUUAAAUAGCCAGGCUAUCUUUGGCGGGUCGCGGGUUUUUUGGAGGGCCUUUCGGGUCAAACCGAUGGAAGUUUGAGGCAAUAACAGGUCUGUGAUGCCCUUAGAUGUUUUGGGCCGCACGCGCGCUACACUGACAGAGCCAACGAGUUUAUUUCCUUGGCCGAAAGGUCUGGGUAAUCUUGUUAAACUCUGUCGUGCUGGGGAUAGAGCAUUGCAAUUAUUGCUCUUCAACGAGGAAUUCCUAGUAAGCGCAAGUCAUCAGCAUGCGUUGAUUACGUCCCUGCCCCCUUGAC
rnacentral:rRNA from 1 species